AUUACUCUUUUAGAGGAUUCCAAUGAAGACUGGUGGAAAGGGAAAAUUCAAGACAGAAUUGGCUUCUUUCCAGCCAACUUUGUUCAGAGACUACAACAAAAUGAGAAGAUUUUUAGAUGUGUUAGAACCUUCAUUGGGUGUAAGGAACAGGGGCAGAUAACACUGAAAGAGAAUCAGGUGAGUAAACCACACAAACACAUUCCAGAUAUGAGCCAAAUAGGGUGUCAUUUUAAUAAACUUAAUAAUAUGUAUAAAUCUGAAUGAGUGGGGUCACAUUCAAAGUAUUCACUUUGAGAAAAGAUAUACUUACUCCAAUGAUGUCAGUGUUGUAGGAGCUAAACAUGCAAACUAAAAUUUUAGGAAUCUCACUUGGUGAUACCUGUUCAUAAACGAAACGUGAUAGUGGCAGGCGACGACAUCUCGUCCCCCAU
rnacentral:lncRNA from 10 species